AUACGGAGGGUGCAAGCGUUAAUCGGAAUUACUGGGCGUAAAGCGCGCGUAGGCGGUUAUUUAAGUCAGAUGUGAAAUCCCUGGGCUCGACCUAGGAACUGCAUCUGAUACUGGGUAACUAGAGUUUUGGAGAGGUAAGUGGAAUUUCCGGUGUAGCGGUGAAAUGCAUAGAGAUCGGAAGGAACACCAGUGGCGAAGGCGACUUACUGGCCAAAAACUGACGCUGAGGUGCGAAAGCGUGGGUAGCAAACAGGAUUAGAAACCCUAGUAGUCC
rnacentral:rRNA from 1 species